UGANGGAGCNCGCCGCGUGUGUGAUGAAGGGUUUCGGCUCGUAAAACACUGUUGUAAGAGAAGAAUGACAUUGAGAGUAACUGUUCAAUGUGUGACGGUAUCUUACCAGAAAGGAACGGCUAAAUACGUGCCAGCAGCCGCGNUAAUA
rnacentral:rRNA from 1 species